rnacentral:lncRNA from 1 species
GUUCCUUGUCUCCUUUUGAUGAGCUUGUGUACAGUAUUCCACAGAGUGGACGCGUACACAGUGUAUUUACCAUUCCCAGUGGGGACCCGGUCACUUCCGAUUCUUUCCUUAGAUAAGGAAAGCUGUGGAGGGAUCCAUUAGAGAAGUGUGCCCGGAAGUAGAUCCGCAGGGUCAUAAGAUCGGCUGCUCUCACGCAGGAGUAAAGUCUUUGCACGGUGUCCCACGGGACGCUCCCAGUGGGGGAUGUUUGAAGAGACUGACAAAGAAGACAUUGAAAUUUAGAGACAGAAGCCGGGGCCCAAGCACACGUCCUCUGACCCCAGGAGCCAGGCGCUGCCACUGCGUCCCAGAGGCCUUUGCUCCAGGGAAGCUUCUGGAACAUGUAGGGAUAGCACCCGGCAGAACUGCAAGUCUCUUCCUCUGAUUUGCUUAGGGGACCCAGCAGAAAGCUCCUGGCUUCCCCAAAAAGCUCCAAGAGGCCUUAACUCCCCACUGUGUGUCGCAGGCUGGGCCUCCCCUGCCCUUCUGCCUGGCUCUGUGACCACAACCUGCUAUGCCUGGGCCCAAGGGUCCAGCCCAUCUGUGGACACUGUGUGGUCCUUAAAGGGUUAAAGCAUAUUAAGCCACAGGCUUCGUAAGUGGGUCCCGGCAGCCUGGUGGGCAGGGUUGGAAGCGGACCCCUGGCCUGGGCAGAAGGGUUUGGAAGAGGAGGGGACCAGCCGUUCGGUGCCACGGUGCAUGGUGCUGGACCCUCUGUGGGCAUGUGGGGCUGCAGAGCGGAGGGCCUGGCCCCUGGUUUGUCAGCAGCCCCUUCAGGGGUGGGGUGCCGGGUGCGUGGUCCAGGAGUGAGCAGUGUCCUUGGCUUCGCUGGUCAUUUCCCUGCUGUCAUCCCGCAGGAGCACCAUGUUGCCCAGAAGAGCUCCAGCUGGUCACGCUGUGUCAGGAGGCCUAGGGAAGGGGCGCCAGGAAGGAGGGCCAAAGAUCAGGACCCUGGAGCUGCAUCCUGGGGAGAGGGCAGUGGGCACAGAAACCGAGAGUCCGUGGAGGGAGGGAGAGGGCUGGAGCCCCUCCUGCUCCUGUGCCCAGCACAGGUGUGCCAUCGGCUCCAUGGUCAGCACUAUUUUCUCACCGCUGCCCUGCCUUGGAGACUGUAGGACGCUUAUCACUGGGGACUUCCGGGGAGGUAACACAUUACUCUGUGCACGCUUUGUGUACAUGCUGUUAAAUCAUGACAAACAGCACAUUGAGAGUGUAUUCCUUUUUCAUGUUGUCAUCCUUCUAAUGACAUAAGGAGAAAGUCUCUGGUACUUGUAUAAGGCAGAUGCUUUUGGUACAAGUAACAACACCUAAAUUCAAAGUAAAUAAGAACACGCAGGAAAAGGUAUUAUUUCACAUAAGG